CGAUGGAGGGGGAUAACUACUGGAAACGGUAGCUAAUACCGCAUAACGUCGCAAGACCAAAGAGGGGGACCUUCGGGCCUCUUGCCAUCGGAUGUGCCCAGAUGGGAUUAGCUAGUAGGUGGGGUAACGGCUCACCUAGGCGACGAUCCCUAGCUGGUCUGAGAGGAUGACAGCCACACUGGAACUGAGACACGGUCCAG
rnacentral:rRNA from 1 species